CAAAACAGUGGCUUUAAAUGACAUUCAUAGUCAGUCUUCAUAUCCACAGGUUACAUAUCUGCUUAUUCAAUAAACUCCAGAUCAAAAAUAUUCAGAAAAACAGUUGGCUUUUUACUGUACCUAUAUAGACUUAGGUGUCUUUAUCUCAUUCCCUAAACAAUACAAUAUAAUGAAUAUUUACAUAGGACUUAGUUUGUAUUAGGCAUGGUACGUAUUCUAGAGUUGAUUUAAAGUAAACUGGGUGAUAUGAGUAGGUUACAUGUCAACACUGUGCCAUGCAAUAUAAGGAUUCUUGAGGGAGUUGUUAACCAGGAAAUAAACUAUUGUACAUAACUGGAACACAUUUUGGUACCUGGAAGUGAGGUCCUGAUACGGUCUUUGGGACUAUGUGAUGGGGUAAAGCUGGAGGACACAGAAGAUUGUUAAAGACUUAAGGGCCUUGAAAAUACCAUUAGUGGAAAUUUUAUGGGUUGGAAAUGGCUGAAGUAACUCACAGUGAAGGCUGAAAGGAAGUUGAGGAUAAUAUUAUUGAAAGUUGGAAGAAUGGAGAUAUUUAUUAUGUAGUGGCAGAAAAUUAAGCAACACUAUCAUCUGUAGUUACAUGGAAAUAAAACUAAUGAAAAACUAAGAUUUCCAAGAAGUGGGUACCUGGCUUCUAUCUGCCUAUAAUAAAAUACAAGAUGAGAGUGUUAAGCAACAGAAAGAAAUUUUAUAGGCAAAGAAGCUAAGACUUGCUGAGAUAAAAAUAAAACUUUAUUAUUCUAGUCUCUUCAGAUGGCAAAUGAUGCUAAAUUUAAGAAACAGCUUUUGGAUAAAGAUCAAAUCAAGAGCACUGUCAGGAAAAAGAUAGUGAUGAUAUCAAGGAUGUUAUUAUAUAGCCCCAUGUGAAGAAUUGGAUGGUUAUCUCAGCUGUCUCCAAAGAUCUUAAAGGGCAUGGAUUACAGAUAGUCUCUGCUAAAGAGUAGGGCAUUUAAGAAUGUCAAGUGUGUUUUCCUACAGUAAUUUUACAGGAUACCAAAGGUAGAGAAGGGUUUAUCUUCAUACAUUUUAUGGAUGUUGCUUUUGUCUAAAGGUGUCAAUUUCAGUAUGAUUUGUUGGAGACCUACAAAGUUUUAAGAGAAGUGUACACACAGAGAUGCUGCCAGCUUUCACUGAAAAAGACAGUAUAACUAUGAGAAGAGGCCUUUGGACUUUUGAAGCCUUCAUGACUUGAUGAUGAUGAUGAUGAUGAUGAUGAUGGUGAUGAUGAUGAUAAUGACUACUGUUGAGCCAUUACAUCCCCUGGAAGAGUGCUUAAUACAUGGAAGAGAAGGUGGAAGAGGAUACAGAAAGAUACAGAAAAAAUAUUGGAAGAAAUUGUGACAGAAUUUCCCUAAUGUCAGAAACAAACCACAGGUCUUAGAAGCUCUGAGAACACCAGCCAGGUUAAGUGUCAAGCCGACAAAAAAAAAGGCAUAUCAUAUUCAAAUAUCAGAAAAUCAGAGUUAAAUUUUUUUCUUG
rnacentral:lncRNA from 1 species